rnacentral:rRNA from 1 species
AACGAACGCUGGCGGCAUGCCUAACACAUGCAAGUCGAACGAGAUCUUCGGGUCUAGUGGCGCACGGGUGCGUAACGCGUGGGAAUCUGCCCUUUGGUUCGGAAUAACAGUUGGAAACGACUGCUAAUACCGGAUGAUGACGAAAGUCCAAAGAUUUAUCGCCAGAGGAUUAGCCCGCGUAGGAUUACGUAGUUGGUGUGGUAAAGGCGCACCAAGGCGACGAUCCUUAGUUGGUCUGAGAGGAGGCUCAGCCACACUGGGACUGAGACACGGCCCAGACUCCUACGGGAGGCAGCAGUGGGGAAUAUUGGACAAUGGGCGAAAGCCUGAUCCAGCAAUGCCGCGUGAGUGAUGAAGGCCUUAGGGUUGUAAAGCUCUUUUACCCGGGAUGAUAAUGACAGUACCGGGAGAAUAAGCUCCGGCUAACUCCGUGCCAGCAGCCGCCGUAA